AACUAAAACUAAAACUAAAAAUCAUGAUUCAAAAUUCACCUUAUUCAAAAUCCCUCAAACCCUAACCCUUUCAAAAUCCCUAAUUUGAAAGCUCCAAAAAUCUCCAGUGCCAGUCACCUUCGUGAAAUGUUCGGUGUCCACCAGUCACAUCGUCUGGCAUCUACCAGUCACACCAUCCAGCGUCCACCAAGUCACCAUCUUAGUUCCAAUUUCGACAUCUGACAAGUUAUGGUAGGCUUUUCCUCUCAAGCUUAUAGAUGUCUAUACUCCUUAAAUGGUUGCAAGUAUAUUUGAAAAAAUAUAAUAAACACCUAUAGCUCUUAAUGUAUAAGUUUAGCUUUCUUGAACAUAAACCAAGAGAAUAUUGAACUACAUAAAGGGUUAUUCUGAAUUAAGUAAGAAAACAAUUAAGCAUUGAAAAACAUGAUUGAUGGUUCUUCUUCUGUUAGUCAAAUUUGACAUCUAUUAAAUUCAGCUACAUUAAUAUGAUUGAAAUGCUCACUCUAGCUAUGUUGACUUUCUGUGUACGCUUUACCCCUACUAGGAUCCUUAUAUAUAUAAUACGAAUUAAGCAUUGAAAAGCAUGAUUCUUGUAUAAUUAUGUACAUGUCAAUGUACUUGGAAUCGUUAAAUGGAUAGCUAUGUUUUGUUUGCAAGAGAUUAUCUAUAUUAAGGAAUGUAAGGCCAUUAGGAUCAUUCGAACUUGUUUGAUAUUUGCAGUUUAGUAGUAUGCAUUUUGAUGUAAUGCAAAGAUAAUGCUUUUUGUCUUUUAUUAUCGAAGGCCAACAUUCAAGUAAUUUUGCCAGUGGUACUUGUUCAUUGUUUCAUGGUUUUCUAUGGCAAUUGAUUAGCUCAAUAUUGAGUAUUGACCAUGCUUUGAAAUAUGUUAGUAAUAACUUGCUUUUUGUCAUUUCUUUUUUCUAGUAUACGAGGAAUACAAGUUAGUGACCUGAAAGUUUUGAAAGAAAA
rnacentral:lncRNA from 1 species